rnacentral:rRNA from 1 species
AACGAACGCUGGCGGCAGGCCUAACACAUGCAAGUCGAACGCCCCGCAAGGGGAGUGGCAGACGGGUGAGUAACACGCGGGAACCUUCCCAACAGUACGGAAUAGCCCAGGGAAACUUGGAGUAAUACCGUAUAUUCCCGAGAGGGGAAAGAUUUAUCGCUGUUGGAUGGGCCCGCGUCGGAUUAGCUAGUUGGUGAGGUAACGGCUCACCAAGGCGACGAUCCGUAGCUGGUUUGAGAGAAUGACCAGCCACACUGGGACUGAGACACGGCCCAGACUCCUACGGGAGGCAGCAGUGGGGAAUCUUGGACAAUGGGCGCAAGCCUGAUCCAGCCAUGCCGCGUGAGUGACGAAGGCCUUAGGGUUGUAAAGCUCUUUUGCCGGGGACGAUAAUGACGGUACCCGGAGAAUAAGUCCCGGCUAACUUCGUGCCAGCCGCCGCCGUAA